UACGGGGGGGGCAAGCGUUGUUCGGAAUUACUGGGCGUAAAGGGCUCGUAGGUGGCCAACUAAGUCAGACGUGAAAUCCCUCAGCUUAACUGGGGAACUGCGUCUGAUACUGGAUGGCUUGAGUUUGGGAGAGGGAUGCGGAAUUCCAGGUGUAGCGGUGAAAUGCGCAGAUAUCAGGAGGAACACCGGUGGCGAAGGCGGGUCUCUGGGCCGAUACUGACGCUGAGGAGCGAAAGCCAGGGGAGCAAACGGG
rnacentral:rRNA from 1 species